ACUCCGAAUGCUGCUUCCAUUUCCGGUAUGUGCCUGACAAUUAACUUGACGUCAGUUUGAAGAAUACAACACGAGUCGAGUGACUAUAAAGCAGCUCUGUCAAUCAACGUUGGCCGUAAGUAGCAGCCUGUAGUUUCUGCCUCGCAAUCUCGAUAGUGGUGAGAAAGGGCCACGUCUGGGUCGGCCACGAGUUGCUCGAACCCUAAAACGAGCAUCGCGUCGGAAGGUAAAGGUACGAUAAUCCAAUGCGUCAUCUGUACUUACCGCAGCCUGAACGAGAACGAGUAUUGUUAGAGUAAUCAAAAUCCCAGCGACAAUGAUCGUUUUCACUUGCCGUGGGAGUGACGGCCAU